GUUAAACCAAGAUGGCCGGCGGGGUUUGUGGGGGGGCUGUGAGUCUUUCUGUCGGGCAAGGGAUGGGGGAGAGCUGAGGGGCCUCCUUCUGGCAGUCUUGGCCCGAGAAGCACCGUGCCUUGCUGCGAAGCGUGGGAUGGGUUUCUGGUAAGGUCACGCCUCCCUCCUGGAGGGCUCAAAAGCAAAUAGUUAAAUACCCAGCCUGUAGAUGCCCUCAAAGUAAUGGAGAAAAAGCAGGGAGAAGGCUCUGUCCAUUGAGAAUGUAUUAAACCGCAGCAGUUUCUCUCCCUGACAGAGCAAGUGGUCUAAUGCAUGGGGUACACGAUUUUUUUGUGAGGCUUUUGACACCGUCUCGGGGCAGUCUCGUAAGCAAAGCUGUGUGUGCACAAGGAUUUGCACACCUGCCCUUGUGAGUCCUGCAGGGCACUCCGUGAGGGCUCAGUGCUUUCUGGUGGACGCCUUGGAUGAUGCAAUAGGUGGCACAGAUUACAAAUUAAAUCUGGGACAGGAUUAGGGUGUACUGUUUAAAGGCAGGAAGCCGAACCCAAGACGAGCAAGUACCCAAAGUAAAAUACAGAGUAAAACAAGUACACAUCACCUUUAAAUAAAAAGAAGAAAUCGAUUUAUUUUUUCCAAGAAAGACAUUAAUGAUGUAUUGUUAUUAAUGUAAUGGCCAGAGUUCCUAUAUGUUUUUUAAAGGCACAGCAUUAUCCCAUGAGUGUGAGCAUUAUGACCUUAAAACAACAUAGCUAUCUUUAAAACCACCAAACAGUUGAAAAAAAAGUUAUGCAUGUUCUUUAGUAACAGUUCAAUUUGGGAAAGAUUCAGUAUGAAUUGUAUUUAGGUGAAUCUCAAGCAUUUUUACCCAUGCCAUCUGACUCAGUUAAUGUGAACUAUACAAUCUGCUCUCUGAUUUUCUCUGUAUGAACAUUUAGUUUGCCAGCAGCCAUUCACCAUUGCAACUAAAACUGCAAGCUACGUGAAAUUUAUUUAUGCAUUAUUUUCCCACUGAUAGGUUCUAAGUGCUUCAGUCACAAAUAAAGGUCAGAGGUGGCCAUGCUCCAACUCUGCUGCCAGCUGGCCUAAGGACAGAGACGACCAUCUGGGACACGAGGAGGUCCAAAUACAGCUGAAGUCAGUUCUAAGCAGUGCUUUGUUGCAUAAUAAAAAAUUCAAGUGAAUAGCCUGGACCAACUUUGGAGCAGCAAAGGGCAUGAUGGAAAGAUGAAGAGGCUUAAAGUAGAAUAAUGUCUAGAAUAAUGUCUAAGAUUCCAUAUGAAAAAGAUAAUUUCUGGAAGCUGGACUGCCCCUCAUGUCUUUCAUAAUAAAUAUUAAUGUAAAGAAUAGAAAACUGCAGCAAUCAACAAAGAAAAGUGGGAAAAUAACAGAGUCAUGAAUAAGACCUGAUAGAGUUCAAGCCAGACAAAACCUUGACAGAGUAACCAAAGGCUUUUAGCAAUCAUUUUCUAUGCAAGAGUUUUAUCUUUGCAGUACUUUUAAUAUAUUCAUGAAAAAAUAAUAUAUUAACUGCCUUGCCAGUUGUUUAUUGUUUAGGUUUUUGUAAUUGACCCCAGUUCACAGGUGAGUAAUAGAAAUUCCUGCUAUCUUGUACUGCCUCUGCAAUAGCAGCAGCGAACUAGUGAACACCACUCACAGAGCCCAGAUGCUACAACUUGAUUUGCAGAGCUAUGUUGAGGUGCUAAAGUAAUAUUGUAAAACAAAAGUAGCUCAAACAGGGUAACUUGAGCCUCUGUUUAAAUUACUUGUUUUGGUUUGGGUUUUUUUUUUACUGUGAAAAAUUGCAACACUGUUGCAUAAAAAUUUGCUAUUUUAAGUCUCCUGGAAAAAAUUACAGAUGUGGAGAUGAAAAGCCAGCAACAAGUCACUGAAGAGUAUUUUUAACUGGGUUGUCCAACAGCCAGAUUUGUAAAUUCCUGACACAUGUAGUAUGUGUCUGUCAAUAAAGAACUGUUCAUCUGGCUUUUUUCAGUCUGUGGUGAAAAGAUCUGAAUUACCAGAAAUAAACAAGUAAUUAUAGGAAAAAAAUAUGUCUCUAACUGCUGUUACUUUUUAUAGAAGCUCUAGGCUUUAAUCCAUAAAAAGGAAGGAAGAGCGACACAUUAAAAGGAAAACCGGUAUACUUAGCUAUCUUCAGAAUUUGAGGAGGAACAUUAAUUUUGAGCAACUUAACUAGCCUACAGAGUGUAUUUUUGUCUUUAUAUGCUUCUCAGUUCAUUGACUGUUGAAGAAUUACAAAUUGACUGUGCUCUAAAUGUGUGUACUCAUUUAAGGUUAGGGAAGAUAAAUCUAGGCUAUAGGGAGGACAUUACUUCAUUAGGCAGCUUUCUAGUGACCUAUUAAUCUUAUCCAUCCAUCCAUUGUAGUCUGCACCAGACUUAGGCUGCUGGAGGAAUUAGAGGAGGAGAUUUAAGUGACAGAAAGACAGGGUAAUGAAAUUCCUGCUGUAUAACAGUCUAAGAAAGUGUGGAGAAGUCCAAGGAUCAAACAGUGUGGAAAUUAUAAUGGUGAUGGAUCUGGCCUUGCCAAACUGAUCAAUCUACUUGAGAGCUCCCCUGUGAAGAAGGAAAUAGAGAGGUGGUGAGCUUCCAGGAGCUUCCUCUCAGCAAACUGUGGCUCCAGAAAAGCAGGUUCUUCAUCUUGCAUGGCUGGAACACUUCCACGUGUAGCUGUGCCAUGUCAGAAAUUCCAACAUCUCCUUUUUAGCUUCCAAGAUUUCCAGCUUGUCUAAUAAGACCAUGGGAGCCUCUCUGAUGGCCAAGGUAGAUUUUCUGUUACUGUAGUAGUCCAUAUACACAAAAAGGAUAGUUUAUUAUCAGUAAUAUGCAGCGUGUGUGGUGACAAUGCAUUGUCCCCCAUUUGUUCAGAAUUCCCGUCUUUUUAAAAAACAUUUUGUAAAAUCCUGUGAUAAAGGGCCUAGCAUACAUGAAACAAAAAUUAUAAUGGCAUCCCACAGGUACUAAAAGAACUUUUGUGGGACCUGGUAAAGGGACAGUUAUUAGAAUGUAAUCUUCAACAAAAUCAAAGACUACAGUAUGUGUAAAGUUAUUGUAGUAUGAUCUGUUGUGCUGUGAAAUAUUUUGCAGAAGAGCAUUAUUUUAAACAAAGUAAUUGUUGGAAUUUUUUUUUUUUUUUUGUUCUGGGGGAAGUUUAUUGUACAAGUGCAGCAAAAAAUUUAAUUUGUGGCCUGUCUUUCCUGCAUCACCCUUAUCUUCCUGAAUAGAAGGAGCAAGGCUGCAGGUUAUUUCAGAGCAUCAACCUUCUGUGGAGAGGAGAGAAGGACAAAAAGACAAGAGGAUCAAGGACAUUCUCUUGGGCUUCAUACUGACUUUCCAGUGCAAAUCUCAGAGUCCACAGCCAUGGCAAAUAACACUGCUGGUCUUUGGCAGUCUCACAGAGAGGGGAGAAGAAAGAUUAUGGUGGCUAAGGGAAAAAGAAGAUCUGUUUCUCUCUUCUGAACCUGUGGGAACAGAGAGAAACUGCCCUUUUUGCCUUAUUCCAAUGACAGGAAAAAGUGAGAUUUUUUUUUUUUAACUUUUUGUAAAGGCUAGGUAAACAUCCUGUUAAUGUACAGCUGAUUUUUUUUCCCCUGUCCAUUUCAUGCCCAGAUGCAGCUAUGUUGGUGCUAUCCCUGAAAAAGGCAUCUGACUCCCUCUCUUGCAUCAAGCCCCAGGCCUCUUUAGGUGCUGCAAGGCUACUGUAAGGUCUUCUUGGAGCUUUCUCUUCUCCAGGCUGAACAGCCCAAACUCUCUCAGCUUGUGUUCAUAGGAGGGGUGCCCCAGACCUCUGAUUGUCUUCAUGGCCCUCCUCUGGACUCACUCCAAGAGGUCCAACAUAUGCCAAAUUACAGGAGAAAAAGAACAGGAAAACUGAAAUGUUCAUUUUUCUUCUCAGAGACAGCUCCAACCUACCCAGAUAUCAUAGACCCACUGUAAAUAGAUCAUACAUAAAUAAAUUGUAUUUCAGACAGAAUAUAUCAGAAAAUGUAUAGAAUUUUUUUCCAAUUAACACCCUUAAGGAUUUCUUUUUAUUUAUAGCUUUCAACAUUAAGUCUAGCAACUUUGGUAUAACUGUUUGAGUUUCUGCUAAGGAUUCUAAUAGCAGAAGUUAAGCAGCAGCAUUUCUGUGAACUGCCAUUGUAAUGAGCAUAUAUGGAAAAAAAUAAAUUCUAUUGUGUGUUCUAGUUUCACAAAGAAGAUGCACAAGAUUUGAUG